GACGUCGAAUAUCGACGUCAUCAACACCAAAGUUGAUCGUGUUUAUGACGUCGAAUAUCGACAUCAUGAACACCAAAGUUGAUCGUGUUUAUGACGUCGAAUAUCGACGUCAUAAACACCAAAGUUGAUCGUGUAUAUGACGUCGAUUAUCGACGUC
rnacentral:miRNA from 1 species